rnacentral:lncRNA from 10 species
CAAGGCUUAGUUAUAAUCUGUCAGGUUUGAGGAUCUUGAUUGGAAGCAUAGACUUGAUCUGUAUUUGUGGUUUCUCAUUUCAAAUAGCCUCUCAAUGUUGGAUAAAUUUGCAUGUUCAUGUUUUAUAGAGUCAGAACUCAAUUUCCUAGUAUUCCUUGCAGCUAGGGCACAAGCAUAUGACCUAGGCUUUAUUGAUCAGAU